AGAGUUUGAUCAUGGCUCAGAUUGAACGCUGGCGGUAGGCUUAACACAUGCAAGUCGUGCGAGAAAGUAUCUUCGGAUAUGAGUAGAGCGGCGGACGGGUGAGUAACGCGUAGGAAUCUACCUAGUAGAAGGGGAUAGCCCGGGGAAACCCGGAUUAAUACCGUAUACCUCCUUUGGGAGAAAGAAGGCCUCUCUUUAGAAGCUUUCGCUACUAGAUGAGCCUGCGUAAGAUUAGCUUGUUGGUGAGGUAAAGGCUCACCAAGGCGACGAUCUUUAGCUGGUCUGAGAGGACGAUCAGCCACAUUGGGACUGAGACACGGCCCAGACUCCUACGGGAGGCAGCAGUGGGGAAUAUUGGACAAUGGGCGCAAGCCUGAUCCAGCCAUACCGCGUGUGUGAAGAAGGCCUUCGGGUUGUAAAGCACUUUAAGCAGGGAGAAAAAGUUAUAAGUUAAUACCUUAUAACCCGGAUGUACCUGCAGAAUAAG
rnacentral:rRNA from 1 species